UGGGCAAAUUUAAGGAGUCCUUUAUAGUCCAUUUGCGGAACCUUGUUGCUGUAACAGCACUGACUAUCUCACCAGCACCAGCACCAAAAUUGAUGACCAUCCACUUCAUGGCUGAUUAUCUUGCCAUCUUUGAGUGUCAGCAGUGUGACUGUGGUGUGCCUAGGUGUGGCUUUUUUUGUGUUCAUCCUCUUUUCAGGAGGUGGACCUCUAGAUUGCAGAUGAGGAAACCAGGACACAGAAUGUUAAGAAGCUUGCCCAAGAUCCCACAGCUGGUAGUGGCAGAGCUGCUAUUAGAAUUCAGGAAGACUGACUCCAGAAUCUGGCACCUGAGUGUCCUAGUCUGCUAACAUGGAGUCCCAGGAUUCACGAUAGACUCCUAGACUCAUCAAAUCAUCCUGGCAUAUGCUUUCUCCUUCACUGUUUUGAUACUGAAAGGGAAUACCACACUGCCUAGCACAAUGUUUGCACAGCGUGCCUGCGGCU